GGGGGGCGCGCGCGCUGACCAGGAAGGAGCCGGCGUGACGGCGAACUACGGCACAGAAAGGAACUGGAGCAGCAAACACUCUCGCCGAUAAGAACAUCGGCUAAAUCCCCCAAACAAACGCGUUAAAGGCCUUCAGACGGUCCAUGGAACACUUGGAUGGAUCUUCAACCUGGAGGAAACUGGAAUAUAUCUCAAGAUCCGAUGUGCCCCCCCUUUCAGUCAGGGAGCAGACAGCAUUAUGAAUGAAUGAGAAGACGUCAGAAGAGAUCCUUGUUUAGGGCUCCACCGAGGACGGAAGGUUGUGCCCUCGCCUGCAUCGUGCAUGUGAGUGGAACCGGUGGUUGAUUAAAACUGGAGCACACGCGUUCUCCUCUCAGAGCCGACAGGCACGACUGCAGAGCUGGGGACGGACUCAGAGGAGGGCAUUUAGUGUUAAGUCCCUUUUUAAGUGGCUGUAAUUGUUUUGUACAACGAGUGACAAGUGACAACAUCAAAAGGAGAUCAUUCGCAGUGACAUUAAAAAAAAAACUUUUGCCGGAAUGAGCUGAAUCAAAAGCUUCCACGUGGAAGGUGAAAAAUUUGGUUUUUCUCCGUAAUUCCUCCACUGU
ensembl:lncRNA